AUGCACGUCCAGGCACACAGGCACACGGGCCUAGCGCGGGGAUCCGAUCCGAUCCGAUCCGAUCCGAUCCGAUCCGGCCCAGCCUGGCCUGGCCUGGCCCAGCCCGGCGGGGGCGGAGCUCUCUCGGAGGCCCUGCCCCUUAACGCUUUGCUGCCCGGGCCGGGAGCGCCGUGUCCGGCGCCCCCGAGGCGAGCGAGCCCCGGCACAGCACCCCGGGGCACUGGGACCCCCACGGCAGGGGAGCCCACGCGGCCCCCCCGAGCCCACUCCCCGGGCACAGCAGCCCCGGGCACGGCACGAAACAGCCCCCGACGGCGCACUUCCCGCGCACGGCACGGCACGGCACGGCACGGCACGGCUCCCCGACAGCACAGUCCCCGCAGCGACCCGGCCACGGCCCCGUCCCCCGGUGCUGCCCCAGGGCUCGGACCCCAGCGAGGCCGCACGCACAGCACCCGGGCCAGCCCCUACAGGAAGCCCCCCCAGGGCUCCCACGCGGAGGGGAGCCCUUGGCACGGUUCGGCUGGCUCCCAUUACAGUUACCUCAUCGGAGAGCUGCCGGGCCUGCGAGCGGCGCCAGCAUCGCCCGGGCCUCCCCGCACCGGCACCCCAGCAGCAGCACAGCUGCCCACAGCUGCACGCCGGCCCCACGCAGUGGCUGGCAGCUCCCGAAGCCAGGGCGGCACGGGGCGCCCGGCACACCGCCCCUCCGGCACGCGCAGGGCGAGCACCACCGGCGAGCAGGGCCGCUGCAGGAGCGAGCCCCCGUGGGAACGCCCCCCCGCUCCGGCCACAGCGGCGCCGGCAGGCCUGCAGCCCGCUCCCAACACCGGGUCCAUUCCCGGCACCAGGCCUGUUCCCGGCACCAGGCCCGCCUCGCAGGGCACCUGCCUCCUCGCGCGCAGCAGCAGCAGCAGAGCUCGAACAGCAUGGUGCCCUCCCGGCAGGGCCCUGCCUUCCCGCUGCGCCGCGCUGCUCCGGCCGCUCCGGCUGCUCCGCUCGCAGCUCUCCCACAUCUGGAGGGGAGUUACGGGACAUGGUGACUCAGACAGCCCAGGAGCGUGGCCAGGCCCAGCUCUUCCUGCCGCGGCCUCGCUCGCAGCCCGCACCCUCGAGGGCAGAGCCCCCCCGGGCGCCGGGGCGCCGGGCACCGCGUGGGGCUGCUCUCUGCCACGGAGUGGGCUCCGUGCAAAGAGCGGCGAUGGCCUCGGCCGGGCUCGGCACGUCGCGCCGGGGCUGCGUGUGCCCGGAGGAGCCGGGGAGCAGGGGCGGUGGCGUGGUCUCGUGUCAAAACCCGAGCUGUGGUGCAAGACCGAGUCGCAGAGCCGGGCACGCUGCGCGCUGCCGGCGGGGGGCUGGGCAGGGCCGGGGCGCCGUCCCGCUGCGCUGCCCCGCCGCGGCUCGCGCCCCGUCUGCGCCGCGCAGAUAAGGGGGGGGCAGAAGGCCAGGCAGGGGCAGGGGAGGGCAGGGCCGGGGCGAUUAGCGCCGUGCAGGAAACGUCAUCUGGAAUCACAGGACGCGUUUCCUUCUGCGUGUUUGUGCCGCUGCUUUCACGCUUGGCCAAUUUCGUCCCCGGCGGCCGAAGAGCCCGGCCCCGCCGGGGAAGCCCCCUCCGCCCCGGCAGGCGGAUGCCUUAGGGCUGCUCCAAGCAGCGAGCCGAGGCGCCGGGCCGUGGGCACCGCCGGCCCCACGGCCGAGCCAGCCCCACGGCACGGGGCAGCUCCCCUCGCCCCACCGCGGGGCAGCAGCGCCGGCAGCCCCCGGGCUCCCGCGAGCUCGGCUGGAGCUGCCAGCCAAAGCCCCCAGCCGCGGCCCGCGCCGCUUCCUGCAGAGCUGGUGAGUCACUUGGCAAGACCGAAGCCAGCAGCGGCGUCCGACCCCCUCCUGGCCGCUGGCCUGGUGCAACCGCAACCACAAGGGCUGUGGAAAAGCUGAGUGGAGAGGGAGGGAGGGGGGUUCCCGAGCCUCUCCGGGGGCCUUCUCCACCCACAGCCAUCGUGCUAUUUGAGGCCACCAGCAGCCUUGGAAACAGGAGCGGGGCCCAAACAAACAGCCUCAUCCUGCCACCAAAAACAGCACGUUUCCCCCGCCACUGAAAACAGCCCGUUCCCCUGCCCGGCAGUCACGGCACCGCCACGCAAGCUCUCCCUCCCGAGCCCGUCCCACGACACUGAAACCCCUCUGGCCCAGCACGGCCACCACCAGGAGCCCUCGGGCGAGCGGCACCCCGGAGCGGAGGGGACGGGGCAGGGGCGGAGGCGCCGUCCCGUCCCGUCCCGCGCCAGGUGAGCACGCAGACCUGCAGCGGGGACGAGCGCUUGCAGCCAGCCCCUUGCUUCCUCCGCACGAGGCCCCGCUGGGGACGGGGAGAAACCAGGCACGAGCGACGGAGCUGGGACAUGGUAUCCAAGGUAAACACUACCCUGCACCACACCGAAACCGCGACUGAAAGCAGAUCGAAGCAGAGCAGGGCUGUCCCUCGCACCGAUACCCACGGCGGCAUCCCCCGCCCCCACGUAUUCCAGGAAAGAUGCUCAAAAAUAAACCCUGGGCUCAGCUCA
ensembl:lncRNA